UUUUCUAAUUUUUUCUCAGCAGCACUUAAGAAGCCCAGCCCAAAGCCUAUUCAUUUCCCUUAAGAAGCAGCACUUAACAUUUUCCCUCUCACGUUCUCUCAGCCGCUCACUCUUUUUCCCUCUCCCUCUCUCUUCUAUCUUCGUUUCCCUCUCGGCACUCUCACCCUCACUCUUACAGGUGGAUUGAUGGGGAGGUCGGAAGGGUGUAGUGAUGGCUUGGCGACGUGACGACGGGCUACUGCGGGGAGGCACCGCAAAGUGAUGAACGUCUGCUUAGAGGCUCGGUGACGGGACAAUGGAUGAUGGGCUUCUAUAAACGGCAGCAACGACUUCGGUGAUGAUGGCAUUGGCUUCGACGACAACAACUUCGACGGAGGGCAUGAACGACACCAAGGUUUUUUUUUUUUUUUUUUUCUUCUGAUUUUAAUUUGUUUCUUUGUAGAUUUGUUCAAGUUCGGUUUCAAUGCAGACAAAAAAGGUUGUUAAUGAACUUUUCUUUGAGUUAAAUAUUUCUUUGACAUAUCAGUUUGUGUGCUUAAAUAUAUUAGGUUUCUAAGUAUUUUGUUUGUGUUUAAAGUAUAUCAAUUGAAUGAGAUGAGCUUCAGUAUAUAUAAGCUUAAAAAUAGAAAUCGAAAUCAAUGUAAUGUUCUGAUUCACUUUUCUAUGAUGUUGCUUGUAAAUUAGUCAUAUAACUUGUUUUAUUAUACUAAUGUAUUAACAAUGUCUACGUUCAUAUUCAUUACGAUUUUGGCCUACUUUCAUAAGUUUAGGCAAACAAAUAGUUUUAAGUUUAUAUACACAACUAGGUUUAAAUUUUAAGAGAAAGUUAGUCUUAUUAUUCUGGUUGCACUUGCUUCACUGUAGUCUCAAUGAUAUUACUUUGGUUCUUCCAUUUUUAACUCAAUUGCUUUGUUUUGACUUGUUUGGGGCAUCUCUUGUUCAAAUUUUGUAUUGACCUGGGCCUCAUUUCUAUAUUCCUUUAAUGAACUUAUAAAUAUUUAGUUUAUCUUUUCAAGUAACUAGAAAUGCUUUUAUUUUAUUAUUUUAAUUAAAUACAAUUUUAUGUUCGUAAUUAUUUUACAAAAUAGAAUUGAUGAAAAUUUAAGCAACUAUAUAUAUACACACAUAUGCUUAUAUUAAGAAUAUAUGUAAUCAUAUAUAUACUCAUAGUAAUUUCACAAAUAAUCAUUGUCGUUUAUAUAUACUUUAUUUGGCUUUUUCACUACUUUGUGAAUUAAAUAGAUGCCUUUAAAAUAGAUUACUGUUUGAAUGAAUGGUCAAUCAAAAUUUUCCACAUCUUAUUUUGUAUUACUCUUUAAGAUUUUUAAAGAGGUAUGAAUAUUGAGAAGAAAUAAAUUUAUAAUAGUGACAAUUAGUUUAAGAAUGUAUGCAUUUUUUUUAUUUGAUUUGUUGUUACUUUGAUGUUGUUUUACCCUUAUUAUUUUUUCCUUCUAGUUGUAUGUGUCUUGUUUUGGACUUUUUGGGUGUUGUAUCCUAUAUUAUAUUUAAAAAUUUACUUCUGGAGAUUUUGUCUACGUCCCACCUCCCUAGUUGUGAGAAUAAUUUACUUAGCAUUUCAGUUUUUUACAACAAAAAAAAAUUAUUCUGAUCAUAGGUAGUUAUUUCUCUGUGAAUGUCAGUUACAUAACAUAUCUUUAUAGAUUUAUGCGGGCACAUGUCGAUGACUUUAUAGGUUUCACAUUUGCUAAAUGCUUUGUUGUAUUAUUUAUAAUUAAUAUUUAUGUAUUUGUUCAAAAGUGACCCAUCUUCAAGAAAGAUGAACACACAAUAAGAUGGAAACACAUUGAGUUUAGAAUUGGGCCUUUUAUUGUUUGUUAGCUUGAAUUAGUAUGUGGUAUCUUGUUUCUUGGUUUGCUUUGCUAUACUCGAUGGGUGUCUUGUUUUUCUUUCAUUGUUUAGUGAGUGGCUUUGUUUAUUGAGUUAAUGAGUUUUGUUUCUAUUUAAUGUGCUUCUUAGCUCACCCUUAGGUGUGGUAUGCCCUUUAUUAUUUGACAAUUGUUUUCCUAUUGAUUUGUUUGUGUUGAUUGUGAUAGAUGGCUAGGCUAUUAAAUUAGGAGAUAUGUUGUCCGAUUUUCUGUUUGAUUUACUUUUAUACUUCAAUGUUUUCUCUUCAAAAUUUUAAUGACAAUACUCCUAUAAAUGAUGUCGCAAUGAAUAAGUUGUCACACUUGGACAGAGACAUUGGUGGCAAGAGAGAUGUGUAACAAUUUCAAUUUUUACUUUGAAAAGACUAUUGGUGACGAGGGUGAGUACAAGUACAAGAAGAAGAAAGAUAUGUUGUUUGACAAUGAAUUUAGUGUUUUAUUUUAUUUGUAAUUUUUAUUAGAGUAAAUGAUUCUUUUUUUAGUGGUUAAUUAUUUACUUUGUAAAUCUAGUUAUAUAUUGUUUAAGGUCAAGACGAUUAUGUUUAUAGACAAUGCUACUUUUUGAAUCAAGUAGCAGUGUUAUAUUUGUUCCAAAAUU